AAAUUGAAGAGUUUGAUCAUGGCUCAGAUUGAACGCUGGCGGCAGGCCUAACACAUGCAAGUCGAGCGGUAGCACAGAGAGCUUGCUCUCGGGUGACGAGCGGCGGACGGGUGAGUAAUGUCUGGGAAACUGCCUGAUGGAGGGGGAUAACUACUGGAAACGGUAGCUAAUACCGCAUAACGUCGCAAGACCAAAGUGGGGGACCUUCGGGCCUCAUGCCAUCAGAUGUGCCCAGAUGGGAUUAGCUGGUAGGUGGGGUAACGGCUCACCUAGGCGACGAUCCCUAGCUGGUCUGAGAGGAUGACCAGCCACACUGGAACUGAGACACGGUCCAGACUCCUACGGGAGGCAGCAGUGGGGAAUAUUGCACAAUGGGCGCAAGCCUGAUGCAGCCAUGCCGCGUGUGUGAAGAAGGCCUUCGGGUUGUAAAGCACUUUCAGCGGGGAGGAAGGCGGUGAGGUUAAUAACCUUGUCGAUUGACGUUACCCGCAGAAGAAGCACCGGCUAACUCCGUGCCAGCAGCCGCGGUAAUACGGAGGGUGCAAGCGUUAAUCGGAAUUACUGGGCGUAAAGCGCACGCAGGCGGUCUGUCAAGUCGGA
rnacentral:rRNA from 1 species